rnacentral:rRNA from 1 species
UACAGAGGUCUCAAGCGUUGUUCGGAUUCAUUGGGCGUAAAGGGGUGCGUAGGCGGCGCGGUAAGUCGGGUGUGAAAUCUCGGAGCUUAACUUCGAAACUGCAUUCGAUACUGCCGUGCUUGAGGACUGGAGAGGAGACUGGAAUUUACGGUGUAGCGGUGAAAUGCGUAGAUAUCGUAAGGAAGACCAGUGGCGAAGGCGGGUCUCGUGGACAGUUCCUGACGCUGAGGCACGAAGGUCAGGGGAGCAAACGGG